rnacentral:rRNA from 1 species
UGGGGAAUUUUGGACAAUGGGCGAAAGCCUGAUCCAGCAAUGCCGCGUGUGUGAAGAAGGCCUUCGGGUUGUAAAGCACUUUUGUCCGGAAAGAAAUCCUUGGCUCUAAUACAGUCGGGGGAUGACGGUACCGGAAGAAUAAGCACCGGCUAACUACGUGCCAGCAGCCGCGGUAAUACGUAGGGUGCAAGCGUUAAUCGGAAUUACUGGGCGUAAAGCGUGCGCAGGCGGUUUGCUAAGACCGAUGUGAAAUCCCCGGGCUCAACUUGGGGAAACUGCAUUGGUGACUGGCAGGCUAGAGUAUGGCAGAGGGUGGUAGAAUUCCACGUGUAGCAGUGAAAUGCGUAGAGAUGUGGAGGAAUACCGAUGGCGAAGGCAGCCCCCUGGGCCAAUACUGACGCUCAUGCACGAAAGCGUGGGGAGCAAACAGGAUUAGAUACCCUGGUAGUCCACGCCCUAAACGAUGUCAACUAGUUGUUGGGGAUUCAUUUCCUUAGUAACGUAGCUAACGCGUGAAGUUGACCGCCUGGGGAGUACGGUCGCAAGAUUAAAACUUAAAUGAAUUGAC